rnacentral:rRNA from 1 species
GGAAUAUUGCACAAUGGGGGAAACCCUGAUGCAGCGAUGCCGCGUGGAGGAAGAAGGUUUUCGGAUUGUAAACUCCUGUCUUAAAGGACGAUAAUGACGGUACUUUAGGAGGAAGCUCCGGCUAACUACGUGCCAGCAGCCGCGGUAAUACGUAGGGAGCGAGCGUUGUCCGGAAUUACUGGGUGUAAAGGGAGCGUAGGCGGGAACGCAAGUCAGAUGUGAAAUGCAUGGGCUUAACCCAUGAGCUGCAUUUGAAACUGCGAUUCUUGAGUGAAGUAGAGGUAAGCGGAAUUCCUGGUGUAGCGGUGAAAUGCGUAGAUAUCAGGAGGAACACCGGUGGCGAAGGCGGCUUACUGGGCUUUUACUGACGCUGAGGCUCGAAAGCGUGGGGAGCAAACA